rnacentral:rRNA from 1 species
CCUACGGGAGGCAGCAGUGAGGAAUAUUGGUCAAUGGACGAGAGUCUGAACCAGCCAAGUAGCGUGAAGGAUGACUGCCCUAGGAGUUGUAAACUUCUUUUGUAUGGGAGUAAAACAGGGUAUGCAUCCCCUCUUGUAUGUACCAUAUGAGUAAGGCUAGGCUAACUCCGUGCCAGCAGCCGAGGUAAUACGGAGGGUCCGAGCGUUAUCCGAAUUUAUUGGGUGUAAAGGGAGCGUAGGGGGAUUGUUAAGUCAGUUGUGAAAGUUUGAGGCUCAACCGUAAAACUGCAGUUGAAACUGGCAGUCUUGAGUAUAGUAGAGGUGGGCGGAAUUCGUGGUGUAGCGGUGAAAUGCUUAGAUAUCACGAAGAACUCCGAUUGCGAAGGCAGCUCACUGGACCGCAACUGACACUGAUGCUCGAAAGUGUGGGUAUCAAACAGGAUUAGAUACCCGGGUAGUC